UUCAGCCGUUCAGCACUACCGCGCUCCACGACUUUCGCAACAACAGUCAGAACUUUGCCCUGCUUGUUGGUCUUUGUGGUUAACGUAGCACGAACCAACCGAAAGGAGUCCAUUCGAAGACGACGCGCUGACUGUAAUGCUGAACCAGACUGAACUCGCCCUAUUUUGUGUCCUUUUGUUCUUACGUGUGCGCGCGUGUGUCAGUGACUAUGCAGUUUGUAGCGUUCCCACUUUAUAGCAAAACAAAAAAUAUAACGGCAAUGUUUCCUUCAUCUAUACAAUUCCAAAUUAAAUCGUCUGCUAAAGUACAAAUUUCACUUGUGUUUUGUUCUAAAUAAGCAGCAAAACCUUUAACCUAGUAGGUGCUUCAUCUGCGAGUGAAAUCACGACAGCUUGGCAUUUAUUAAUGAAUGACUGUGACUGGGUCACCUUAUUUGUAAUUGCAAAUCUGCCUUUCAACUGACUUGAUGCUAUCUUAUGUUGUCCCUUUCACUCUAUAGACGGCUGGACAUCCUUCUUGUACCUUGGCGCUAGCUGGAUGACGGGACCUCAUCAUGAUCAGUGUAUUGCUUUCCUAUGUCUACAAGAACCAUCAUGCGUGGCCUGUGACGGCAAGCUUUUGUGGGCAGCCAGUGCUCUCCUACGAAGGCUGGCCUACUCUGGCAGCGGCAGCAAUCAUCUUCAAGAUUUAUCCAUGAUCACCCUUGCUGCUAUUUGUCACUCUUGUUAAUUACACUUUCUGCAUUUUUUCUAAUUUAUUAGGUAAUAAAGUAUGAGUAUGUGA